AUCCUGGCUCAGGAUGAACGCUGGCGGCGUGCCUAACACAUGCAAGUCGAACGAGCAGAGAGGAGCUUGCUCCUCAAAGCUAGUGGCGGACGGGUGAGUAACGCGUGGAUAACCUACCCUGUACAGGGGAAUAACAGUUAGAAAUGACUGCUAAUGCCGCAUAAGCGCACACUGCCGCAUGGCAGAGUGUGAAAAGCCGAGACGGUACAGGAUGGAUCCGCGUCUGAUUAGCUAGUUGGUGAGGUAACGGCCCACCAAGGCGACGAUCAGUAGCCGACUUGAGAGAGUGACCGGCCACAUUGGGACUGAGACACGGCCCAAACUCCUACGGGAGGCAGCAGUGGGGAAUAUUGCACAAUGGGGGAAACCCUGAUGCAGCAACGCCGCGUGAGUGAAGAAGUAUUUCGGUAUGUAAAGCUCUAUCAGCAGGGAAGAUAAUGACGGUACCUGACUAAGAAGCCCCGGCUAACUACGUGCC
rnacentral:rRNA from 1 species